rnacentral:rRNA from 1 species
AGAGUUUGAUCCUGGCUCAGGAUGAACGCUAGCGGCAGGCUUAAUACAUGCAAGUCGAGGGGCAGCGGGGGUAGCAAUACCUGCCGGCGACCGGCAAACGGGUGCGGAACACGUACACAACUUUCCUUUAAGUGGGGGAUAGCCCAGAGAAAUUUGGAUUAAUACCCCGUAACAUUAUGAGAUGGCAUCAUUUUAUAAUUAAAGCUCCGGCGCUUAGAGAUGGGUGUGCGGCUGAUUAGGUAGUUGGCGGGGUAACGGCCCACCAAGCCUGCGAUCAGUAACUGGUGUGAGAGCACGACCAGUCACACGGGCACUGAGACACGGGCCCGACUCCUACGGGAGGCAGCAGUAAGGAAUAUUGGUCAAUGGACGCAAGUCUGAACCAGCCAUGCCGCGUGAAGGAUGAAGGUCCUCUGGAUUGUAAACUUCUUUUAUUUGGGAAGAAACCCAUUUUUUCUAGAGUGGUUGACGGUACCAGAUGAAUAAGCACCGGCUAACUCCGUGCCAGCCGCCGCGGUAAUAC